AAAAGAACAUAAGUAUAGAAAGAUUAUAUUUCCAUUAGGUUGAGUGAUCUGAUCUGACAAAUGUAUUUAAUACUACACUCAUGAUUUUAUUAUCCAUCAACUUUGUCUUGCUCACUAUGCUUGAGGUUAGAGAAGAACAAAUACACUUUUGGUUCUGUUGGUGUUUUCCACCAACAGAGCCCAUGCCCUUGAUCUCUGCCUUGUCUCUAUGAGCAGGUACACUUUGAGCAAAAUAUGAAGGACUUUUACAACUCCCAGACUCCACCAAGUGAAGAACCUAGAUCUACGAGCACAAACACACUGAGAGACAAUCCAGGACGCCCUGUCAUCCCGAUCUCCAUCGGCAUGGUGGACUUCCCAGAAGCACUCUGUGACUUUGGCUCCAGCAUCAACAUUAUGCCCAGGGUACUCUAUGAAAAAUUCUUUACACAUCCUUUAUUAGAAACAACCAUGUGUUUGCAGCUUGCAGAUCGUAUGCUAAGUUUCCCAAAGAAAAUAUUGAAGAACCUCUACGUCCGAGUUGGUACCUUAUACGCUCCAGCAGACUUCGCGGUGAUAGAGACUGAUACUGAUGAGAGGGCACCCAUCAUCCUAGCGAGGCCAUUCCUGAACACCUCAGGAGCUGUCAUCUACGCUACUGCUACCAAGAUCAGUUUCUACAUCAAGGGAAGGACGAAGACGUUUUCCUUCAAGAAUAAGACUACACAAAUCUCAGAGCAAUCCAGACAUGAACCCAGGAAGAGGACCAACAGGAGGAACAGGAACAAGCAAAUGUGGACCAAGUCAGCUAAGAUAGUCACUGCAGUUCAAGGAGGUCAUGAUCGUCGACUUAAUUCACCUUUCUUGAUCAAGAAGGACGACCCUGGUGUUCCAAGCAUCGAGUGCACAAUCAACGGAUAUUCUUUUCAGAAGACACUCUACGACACCGGAUCUAACGUCAACAUAAUGGCCGCAGUCACUUAUCAGCUCCUGCAUGGAACCAUGUCCGUACAACCAACAUACAUUCAGCUCCAGAUGAUUUUAAGGUUAUUGACAUGGGAGAAGACAAGUACGAUCCACCCAUCAUCCUUGGAAGACCGUUCCUCAGCACUGUUAAAGCAAUCAUCUACAUUGGAACCAGAGAAGUCCACAUGCACUUCCCCUCUGAGAAGGUACGCCACUGUUUUACUAACCCUAACUAUAUAGUUGAAGACUCUAAGCAGGUCAGGACAAGAAGACAACGACACAACCGCAACCAGAGGAGGCAAAUCAUCAAGGACGGAUGGGUAGACUAUGAAGGAGAAGUUGUAAGGUCUGAAGACAUACAACUUGAACAGAACUGUCCUGAGGAGACCGUAGCACCGAGUUAGGUGUGGAGAAAGAAGAUAGUUUUACACGAAGAAGAAGUGCCACCGGAACCACCGACUACGCCACCCAGCGAAUCCCAGGACGACUGAGAAUAUGGAGAGUCCCGUUCAGAGGACUUAAAAACACCGAACGCCUUGCCAAGAGGUAAAUUUGGUAGUUAUCUUUUUCCUUUCAAUUAUUUUAAAAUAGUUUGCUUAGUUAAUUAGGUUCAUAUCAUCUUGAAAAGAAAAUAAAAAUGUUAAGUAAGCCCCAUGUGAGUAUGCUCAUGGCAUAAAACCCAUAAGUACAUUCACUGUGGUGGCAUAAAAAUAAAAUAAAUAUAUUCCUGUCCUAUAAAAAUAAAAUUAUAAAAAUAGAUUUAUGAUCCUACCAAAGAGAGUAAAAUUUAUUAGAAGAAGCUCAACAUGAUAACGGCUAAGAGUUUUUAUGCUAACACUUAACUAGUUUCACAAAGCUUUGUUGUCUAUUUGAGCUCCACAGAAUUCAAGGAUCAAAGAAGACUAGCAGACGAUGGACAUCCUAAUCGCUGUGAGGGUGCUGCCGACAUACCUCCGCCACCUGCUGGCUACAUCAGAAGAAAUUACGUCAAAAUCCAGCUUGGGGGAGAGCACCCCCAUUUAUCCAGCUAAGUAUUCUACUCAUGUUUAUACUUUACUCAAAUAAUAAAAAGAUGCAUAAUCAUGAAAACCCAAAUAAAAAUUUUGUGCUUAUAUAUAUCUUUGCUUAGUUUGCUAAAUAAAUAAAUAAAUAAAGAUCGCUAUGAACCCUCAUGAUAAGCUCUCACAUGGAAAUAAUGAAUAGUUGCUCUGCCAUGACUAGUUCUCAUAAUUGAAAUCUCUCUCAAGUUUAGGCAUGACUGUUAUUAAUUAAGAUUUGCUCUAAACCUGAACUUGUGGGAAGAGUACUUGAUCUAAAGUCUAAGUCGUUAACGGAUAUGAUAUGGGAAGGUUGAGCUGCUAUUUAUCUGUUCCAAGAGAUGCUAGAAUUCUGGAGAACUUUAUCUUUGAAAAAUCUUUAAAAUAUUGCAUGAUGAGUUUCUGUAUGAUGAGAGUUUGAAUUCCUACCACAGCCAUAUAUACAUGCUUGCUAGACUAUGAACCACACAUUUACUUUACUACUUAUGAACAUUGAGUGUGGUCAAGCUGUGUAGACCCUUAGGAGCUUGUCAUGUGGUUAAAUCAAGAUUCACUUACACGUUCACUCACACAUGCUACUUCUACUCCAGAAGUACCAUCCACAUAUAUCCAUCCAUUUCCAUCUCCAGAACCACCCAAAAAUAUUCUACUCCUAAUCCGGGAGAGAAUAGCCAAAAAUAUUUCUGUUUUUCCCCUGUGAAAUAAAUGCUCAAGUUAUCUUGUUACUACCACUUGCUACAUUAUUUCAAGAGAUGAGUGCUCUAAAAAAAAGAAAAAAAAGAAAGAUACGAGGAAAUAAAAAGGGGCAAGUGCCCGGAACCUCGAAAGAAAAGAAAAAAGUGAGACGAGAGGUAAAAAUGGACAAGUGUCCGACAGUAGAAUUAGGGGUACAAGAUACCCGUUUGAGAGAAAAGAAAAAGAAAAUAUAGAGCAUCUCAUUCUCCCUGAAAGUUUCAAAAGAGCAAGAAAGGUAUGUAUCCCCUCAAAAGAGCAUAAGUAGAAUUAGACUUUCACCAUUGUUAUCACCAUCAUCACCAUACACCAUUCAUUCGCCACACAUGCACAUCUUGAUUUGACUUAUUGAUUUGUUUCUUUGGAUCCAUGGUUUGACUAUACAAUACAUGUCUUGUAAGUAUGCAUACUUUAUCUCCCACCUAUGAGCUCCAGAUAUCAAAAGCCUUAUUAGAGUAGGGUGAGAGAGAAGGCAAUGCCACUAUGCCUUAUACCACAAAUACCACAUACUUUGAGAGAAGGCAUACACCAUUAAUGCCUUGGUAAGGAUCCAGAAAUGCCACAAAAGAGAGACUAGAGAGAGUCAUACAAGGAAUCUCUGAGUUUUAUUUGAAAAUCUGCAAAAACUCUAGAGCUAUAGUUAAUCGAAGAACAAGAGACAUGGUGCUUGACUAGUCCGUUCUAUCUUUUAACUACUCAAGACAGAAGUGACGGUUACAAGUCCCAUGGUGAAAGGUAAAGUAAGUAAGUUUUAAGUCUUGAUAGUUUACCCUAACCCAGAGAUGAGAUCUUGUUUGAACGAAUGUGUAUUUUUAAGGCAUAAACCACUGCAGAAACUCUUGAGUCCAUCUUUGCUCAGGGACGAGCAAAGGUUAAGCUUGGGGGAGCUUGUUGACGGUCCUUAAUGCUCACAUUUAACCAUAAACUAAUCAUGGAAAAGGAUCUAAAUGGAACCAACACCUAGACUUAGGGUUUUAUCUGACAGAAUUCCACGAGUUUUGGUGUUUGUCUAUUUCUGCAGGGGGUUAUCAGGAAAUAAGGAAGAAAGGCCCACACGUCGGGUUUACAUAGAGAUAUUAAUGUGCCGCGCAAUUUUCUACCAUCUAGAAGACUCCAGAAGCCACGGGAACGAACGGGAGGCCGAUCGGGCCCGGGGGCAGGGCGCCCGCCCAGCUACAGUAACCAAUCAGCUUCAACUUCGCGGAUCGUGCUCCACCGACCUAAGGGACCAAGGAAAACCGUGCGAUUAAUGUCGGUUUGAUCCGACGGCCCAGAUUCACUUGAAGGGACUAUAAAACCAGACCCCCCUGGCGCCUGGAGAUCAUACCUCUUCUACAGAAUCAAAGCUAGGGUUUCAAUUCUUCAUCCAAGUAGAGAGGAUCCCUCUAGUUCUUCUAGUUCUACCUCUAGUUCAUCUAGAUCUAGUUCUAGUUCAUCUAGUUCUAGUUCUAGUUCCUCUAGUUCUAGUUCUAGUUAGUUCUAGUUGUAAUCUAGAAAAUAGGGAGAGAGAAGAGGAGAGCGGAGGAGGAGCCGGAUCUGUCGGAUCUUCCUCAACAUUGUACUUUUGCAGCAUCUGGUUCGUUCUUCAUCGUUCUCCAGGUUCUUCAACUCAUUACUCCUGAGUUCUCUAAUUACUUUUAUUUACAUUCAAGUUAUUUAUUAGAUUCCCGCUUGCAUCAAGUGCUCUAAUCUUUGAAACAUUAGAGUAGUAAUUAAUAGAUUAGACGUGGUGUUUAGUCUUGCAAUUACCUGGAAUUGCACCCAAUCCUGCGGAUUGUUGUGGUAGCCCUAGGGUAGUGACAGCCCUAACGGUCGACGUAUUCCACCACGUUCGGAUCGGUGUUUGUAGGACCGUAGUCGGAGCUUCCUAGCCCCCUUCUCAUCUCUUUCUGUGGUUAGUGUUCUGAUGUCCCGAUAUAGAUAAUCUUGAAGUAAUUCUUGAUUCUUAGAUCAACUAGAUAACUCUCAGGAAACUUCCUCUCUUCCCACAAAAAAAAUAGUUAUAUAGUUAUCCUUGGGCGAUCUUGGAUCUUAAUUAGUACACUCACGUUCCCUGUGGAAAAUCGAUACUCUGGAAUACUCCCGAGUGAAGGCUACAUCGGUAUCCGUGCGCUUGCGGAUUUUUCUGUUUGCGUUUAAAAUACCCAACAAGCUUUCUGGCGCCGUUGCCGGGGAACGGUAGCUGUGCUAGUUUCGAACCAAGUCAUCCGUGUAUCCUUUUUCUUUUCCUUUUUUACCACACUCACCUUACCAUUUUCACCACACCACAUGGAUUUCAUUCUAAGCAUUAAUGAGCAUGGAAUUUAUUUCAUAGCCACUUCACUUACUCCAUGCUCAUAUGCAACAUCUUCACAAUCCAUUGGUCUCUCCAACAUCACCACAUUCGAGAUCUCCAACCCCCACUUCCUUUCUAUUUAUAAAAACUUUAAAAGGGUGGUUGUCGAUGCAUAUGUCUAUAUUAAAUAUUGCAGAUCUCGUUGAGUUGAUCUUGAUAUAGGUCAGCGUUGGAGGGGAAACCACUUCGCCGACAUAAAUUGAUGGUUUCCCAAGGACAAGCUUAGUGUCCUAAAACAAGCACUGAUCAGAUUGUAACAUGAGCUUUUAAUUAUGUGCAACAUUACCUUGUGUAUUGAGCAUAUAAGGAUAAUUGUAAAAGAAAAAUCCUUCGGGUAUUCUUGUCACUAACUUUCCAGGAUUGGAGCAAGAAGAUCGGAUGAAUGACAAGCACAAGGUAUGUCCAACCAAUCAUCAUACAACAUUGAAUUAAAUUCAUCCAAACUUGAAUUUUGCAAAAUUCAAGCUUGGGGGAGUACUUUACAUAAAAACAUCCUUUGCCAUGUUGCUAUGUUGGUUGUCCCUACCUUUGAGACAUGCUCAAUUUGUUAAAUAGUAAUCACACUACUUCAUCUCCACUCGAGUAGAUCUCUAUAAAUGCUCUCAUGGUACCUUUAUUUGCUUUAGUAUAUGUCUAGGUUUGGAGUAGUCUCAUUUAUCUCUUAAUUAAGCAUGGUGCUUAGUUUAGGAAUGAUGAUAUUACUUCCAAAGGAUUUUAAAUUAAGCAUGAUGCUUAGGUUAAAAUUCCCUCCUAAAUCAAAUUAGACAUGGUGUCUAGGUUGAUCUUUGAGCCGAUAGUAUGCUAUAGUAGAUAUUGGAUAUUUUGUUGGACUAACCCCUGCAGGAAAACUUUCAAUAUUGACCUGGGAAGUCCUGAGAUAAACUCACAUUGGAGACAUAGAGAGAGACACAUGAAGUUUAACAAUUUACACAAGGAAGGCAUAUCUCACAAGAGAUGAUCCAUGAAGGGUGCCACAAACACGUUGCACAACCACUAAGAGAGGAAAGCUUCCACAAGGUGAUACUGUACCGUCACUCUUCAAGUAAGGUAACAUCUUAAGGUACUUGACUAUCACUUCUAUAAGCUUCUCCUUUGUUCUGGCGUUCACAUGAAUAAAAGAGACAAACAUUUAUGAUUUCCAACUCUAGAUUAACCAACCCAAUCGAUUCAACAUGUUUAGUCCUUCCAAUGUUGUGAUCCUAUACUCCUAAUCAUAUGAACUAAAAUGUUGCACACUCAAUCUUUGGAAGAUAUGUAUAUAAAAAAAACAUAAGUAUAGAAAGAUUAUAUUUCCAUUAGGUUGAGUGAUCUGAUCUGACAAAUGUAUUUAAUACUACACUCAUGAUUUUAUUAUCCAUCAACUUUGUCUUGCUCACUAUGCUUGAGGUUAGAGAAGAACAAAUACACUUUUGGUUCUGUUGGUGUUUUCCACCAACAGAGCCCAUGCCCUUGAUCUCUGCCUUGUCUCUAUGAGCAGGUACACUUUGAGCAAAAUAUGAAGGACUUUUACAACUCCCAGACUCCACCAAGUGAAGAACCUAGAUCUACGAGCACAAACACACUGAGAGACAAUCCAGGACGCCCUGUCAUCCCGAUCUCCAUCGGCAUGGUGGACUUCCCAGAAGCACUCUGUGACUUUGGCUCCAGCAUCAACAUUAUGCCCAGGGUACUCUAUGAAAAAUUCUUUACACAUCCUUUAUUAGAAACAGCCAUGUGUUUGCAGCUUGCAGAUCGUAUGCUAAGUUUCCCAAAGAAAAUAUUGAAGAACCUCUACGUCCGAGUUGGUACCUUAUACGCUCCAGCAGACUUCGCGGUGAUAGAGACUGAUACUGAUGAGAGGGCACCCAUCAUCCUAGCGAGGCCAUUCCUGAACACCUCAGGAGCUGUCAUCUACGCUACUGCUACCAAGAUCAGUUUCUACAUCAAGGGAAGGACGAAGACGUUUUCCUUCAAGAAUAAGACUACACAAAUCUCAGAGCAAUCCAGACAUGAACCCAGGAAGAGGACCAACAGGAGGAACAGGAACAAGCAAAUGUGGACCAAGUCAGCUAAGAUAGUCACUGCAGUUCAAGGAGGUCAUGAUCGUCGACUUAAUUCACCUUUCUUGAUCAAGAAGGACGACCCUGGUGUUCCAAGCAUCGAGUGCACAAUCAACGGAUAUUCUUUUCAGAAGACACUCUACGACACCGGAUCUAACGUCAACAUAAUGGCCGCAGUCACUUAUCAGCUCCUGCAUGGAACCAUGUCCGUACAACCAACAUACAUUCAGCUCCAGAUGAUUUUAAGGUUAUUGACAUGGGAGAAGACAAGUACGAUCCACCCAUCAUCCUUGGAAGACCGUUCCUCAGCACUGUUAAAGCAAUCAUCUACAUUGGAACCAGAGAAGUCCACAUGCACUUCCCCUCUGAGAAGGUACGCCACUGUUUUACUAACCCUAACUAUAUAGUUGAAGACUCUAAGCAGGUCAGGACAAGAAGACAACGACACAACCGCAACCAGAGGAGGCAAAUCAUCAAGGACGGAUGGGUAGACUAUGAAGGAGAAGUUGUAAGGUCUGAAGACAUACAACUUGAACAGAACUGUCCUGAGGAGACCGUAGCACCGAGUUAGGUGUGGAGAAAGAAGAUAGUUUUACACGAAGAAGAAGUGCCACCGGAACCACCGACUACGCCACCCAGCGAAUCCCAGGACGACUGAGAAUAUGGAGAGUCCCGUUCGGAGGACUUAAAAACACCGAACGCCUUGCCAAGAGGUAAAUUUGGUAGUUAUCUUUUUCCUUUCAAUUAUUUUAAAAUAGUUUGCUUAGUUAAUUAGGUUCAUAUCAUCUUGAAAAGAAAAUAAAAAUGUUAAGUAAGCCCCAUGUGAGUAUGCUCAUGGCAUAAAACCCAUAAGUACAUUCACUGUGGUGGCAUAAAAAUAAAAUAAAUAUAUUCCUGUCCUAUAAAAAUAAAAUUAUAAAAAUAGAUUUAUGAUCCUACCAAAGAGAGUAAAAUUUAUUAGAAGAAGCUCAACAUGAUAACGGCUAAGAGUUUUUAUGCUAACACUUAACUAGUUUCACAAAGCUUUGUUGUCUAUUUGAGCUCCACAGAAUUCAAGGAUCAAAGAAGACUAGCAGACGAUGGACAUCCUAAUCGCUGUGAGGGUGCUGCCGACAUACCUCCGCCACCUGCUGGCUACAUCAGAAGAAAUUACGUCAAAAUCCAGCUUGGGGGAGAGCACCCCCAUUUAUCCAGCUAAGUAUUCUACUCAUGUUUAUACUUUACUCAAAUAAUAAAAAGAUGCAUAAUCAUGAAAACCCAAAUAAAAAUUUUGUGCUUAUAUAUAUCUUUGCUUAGUUUGCUAAAUAAAUAAAUAAAUAAAGAUCGCUAUGAACCCUCAUGAUAAGCUCUCACAUGGAAAUAAUGAAUAGUUGCUCUGCCAUGACUAGUUCUCAUAAUUGAAAUCUCUCUCAAGUUUAGGCAUGACUGUUAUUAAUUAAGAUUUGCUCUAAACCUGAACUUGUGGGAAGAGUACUUGAUCUAAAGUCUAAGUCGUUAACGGAUAUGAUAUGGGAAGGUUGAGCUGCUAUUUAUCUGUUCCAAGAGAUGCUAGAAUUCUGGAGAACUUUAUCUUUGAAAAAUCUUUAAAAUAUUGCAUGAUGAGUUUCUGUAUGAUGAGAGUUUGAAUUCCUACCACAGCCAUAUAUACAUGCUUGCUAGACUAUGAACCACACAUUUACUUUACUACUUAUGAACAUUGAGUGUGGUCAAGCUGUGUAGACCCUUAGGAGCUUGUCAUGUGGUUAAAUCAAGAUUCACUUACACGUUCACUCACACAUGCUACUUCUACUCCAGAAGUACCAUCCACAUAUAUCCAUCCAUUUCCAUCUCCAGAACCACCCAAAAAUAUUCUACUCCUAAUCCGGGAGAGAAUAGCCAAAAAUAUUUCUGUUUUUCCCCUGUGAAAUAAAUGCUCAAGUUAUCUUGUUACUACCACUUGCUACAUUAUUUCAAGAGAUGAGUGCUCUAAAAAAAAGAAAAAACUAAGCACCACAAUAUCUUUCUUUUAUCCGAUUGGAAUUAGUUUGAUUGGAAUUAUAUACAUGUUUAGGAUCGUAUAGCGUUUAUCCAUGUGUACAGUGGGUAAAUGAUGAUUAAGUAUUGUGUAGGCGUGGUGCCUAUACCGUAUUUAUCUGCGAUUGUACCCUAUAUGCCGGAUCGUGGGGUAGUUCGUGGUAGUGACAGCUCCAUUGAUUCUUAUAUAGUCCCCCUCUCGUGUAUAGGUGUUGACACCGUUUUUGGGCACGUGUCCAU
rnacentral:lncRNA from 1 species